GCCGUAGUUUCAGAGUGAAUAAAAAUCUUCUUCAUAUAAUGUAUAAUUAGCUAAUGGACUUCAUUACAAUGCAACAGAAUGUUGUGAUCCCUGCUAGCAUAGAUGGCUUUGAAAAUGGAUUUAGCAUUAGCUGGCUGCAGCUGUUAAAAAUAGAACACUCAAGGUUUAUGUCAGCCAAGGUUUGAUUUCCACAGCUGAGCAUCACUGACUGUUUCAUACAGUAUCUGAAGAUUAAACAGUACAGCCUCUUCUGGGCCAUUAACUAGAAAGCAAGUGUGUUUGCAGACCGAAGUCAUUAUGUCUCUCUGGUAAUGCUGCGCGCUAGAGAAGAUGCCACUAUGCUACGGAGGAGGAAAAGAAAAAGAAUGGGGAAAAUGCUUAAAAUGAAGCAUUGAGAGCAAUCAUGAAGGGGUAAUUUCCCCCCCCCACUCUUCAGCUAUUGUGUUUGGAAUUAAAGCCUUUCACAGUUA